rnacentral:misc_RNA from 1 species
GUUUGAUUGUUUUAUCUGGUUAUCCAGGUCAGCAAAGGGCUAAAGUGGCAGAACUUUCGAAAUUUGGCCGCCCGGCCAAAUUGCGAAGUUCGUCUUGGUGGGUUAGAUUUUUUACUCAAUCCAGCUUAGAAGAGAAUGAAGUUGCAAUCAAGAAGUUUGAACAAGCGGCAAGCAAGAGGUCUUAUCAGCCAGCUUGCCAAAUUUUCCACCUCAAACCACUCCAUUGAAAAAUACUUAUCUUUUUCCAAACAGGUAUUAAGCAUCUGCAGCUGUGUUAAAUUAUCGUUUGCCAAUUGCCACGACAAUCCGGCAUUCCACUUGUGAAGCAUCAGACCUGAAUUAAAAAAAAAAAUUGUUUAAUGUGAACCUACAUGGUUGAUUCAGCAAUUUUGUU